UAGGAAGAAUGUCGCAUCUGUUUGCCACC
rnacentral:piRNA from 1 species